rnacentral:lncRNA from 1 species
GGCGGUCUGAAUCCAGACAGGUAAAGGACUGAAGUGCCUGGAAACCGAUGUCUUGUAAUACCUGUACGGCCAAGCAGAUGUCAGCAGUUGAAGUUGAAAUUUUAAAUCACCUGUACGCCAGCGGGAGUGCUGUGGGCCAACCUCCCAGGCCCGCGCUUCAGUGCUGGGGGGCGCGCCCUCCCCGCCCCCCGAAGAACUCUGUGCCAGGGGAAUGAAAAAGCAUCCUCUCUUCUCGCCUCCAACGCGCAGCACUGGGCCCAUUUCCUCCCGGGGAAGUGGGUUUCAGAGCAUCGCAGACUCCUCCCCAGGUAGCGGCAUUUGCUACCCGGUGGAGCACAGCUCAGCUCCUGAACCAUGCACUCCGGUGGAGCAGCUAGAGAGCAGGGAGUCCUGGUUUAGUUGUGAAACAAGGCAGUCUCUGGCUCACCCUAGGCUGUGCACACGGGGCUUUCAUUUCUGGAAACCAGACGGAGCCCUUCUCCUACUCNCCCCCCCCCCCCCCCGCUUCCCUUUUGUACGUGUGGCCUCUCCCUCCCGCACGCUGACCAGGGCCCGCACACACGGCCUCCGACCAACACCGACUGCCCGGAUCCCGCAGGUUGCGAACUCCUGCGGCGCUCCCCUGAGAGCCAAGUGUCAAGGAGCCGGGGCCACCCGAGGAACGCUGUGAAUGCCCCGGGCGUGGCGAGCAGUCGCGGGCUCGGGGGCGGCCCCGGCCUCCAGCAAGCCGUCGUGGGGCUCCGGCUCCUGGGCUGCCUGCGAGCACGGUGCGCCGGGGACAGCCGCUCCGGACGGCCACCGCGUCCUGGCGGACCUCCCCGGGCGGCUCGUGCUUCCCUGCCCUUCACUCGCAGGUCGCUCCAUCCUCGCAGCCUACCCAGGCACAGCGCGGCCGGCGCCUCAGCCCCGCUCCUCUGGGCUCCACCGGCCCGCUAGGUGGUGCUUCCCGAGCAGGGCAACGGGCGCGCCCCCCCUCGGCCGGCGUGGAGGGGGCCGGCGUGGAUGGGAGCGGCCGGUGCUCAGGCGCCGAGCGCACGGCGCAGCGGCGGGGCCCGCGCGGCCCCCGAGGCCCUCGAGGCCAGGCC